UUUGUGUUGGAUGGAGAGAAAAAGUUGUUAAUAGGCUAAACUAUUAGAGAGAUGGAUAGAACAUGUUGUUAAUAGACUAAACUAUUACAGAGAUAGAGCGAUAAUGUUGUUAAUAGACUAAACUAUUACAGAGAUAGAGCGAUAAUGUUGUUAAUAGACUAAACUAUUACAGAGAUAGAGCGAUAAUGUUGUUAAUAGACUAAACUAUUACAGAGAUAGAGCGAUAAUCAAUCACAAAG